UAGGGAAUAUUGGGCAAUGGGCGAGAGCCUGACCCAGCCAUGCCGCGUGCAGGAUGAAGGCUUUCUGAGUCGUAAACUGCUUUUGCCAGGGAAGAAAAAAGGGGAUGCGUCCUCUACUGACGGUACCUGGUGAAUAAGCACCGGCUAACUCCGUGCCAGCAGCAGCGGUAAUACGGAGGGUGCAAGCGUUGUCCGGAUUUAUUGGGUUUAAAGGGUGCGUAGGCGGUUCUUUAAGUCUGGGGUGAAAGCCCGUUGCUCAACAACGGAACUGCCCUGGAAACUGGAGGACUUGAGUACAGACGAGGGUGGCGGAAUGGAUGCUGUAGCGGUGAAAUGCAUAGAUAGCAUCCAGAACCCCGAUUGCGAAGGCAGCUGCCUAGACUGUAACUGACGCUGAGGCACGAAAGCGUGGGGAGCGAAC
rnacentral:rRNA from 1 species